GAAGUAAACUAGAUGAUCGCGGGGGCAAGGACUGAAAAGUCGCCUCUGAGGAAAGUCCGAGCUCCAUAGGGCAAGGUGCUGGGUAACGCCCAGUGGGGGUGACCCCAAGGAAAGUGCAACAGAGAUAUACCGCCCAUUCUUCUAAUGAAGAAUGGGUAAGGGUGGAAAGGCGAGGUAAGAGCUCACCGGCAGUCAGGUGACUGGCUGGCCAUGUAAACCCCACCUGGAGCAAGACUGAAUAGGGGAACGAUGAACGGCCCGUUUAUGUUCCCGGGUAAGGUCGCUAGAGGCUGUCGGUAACGGCAGUUCGAGAUAGAUGAUCAUCGCCUCCUUUGGAGGGACAGAACUCGGCUUAUAGGUUUACUUCGCUU
rfam:Desulfosporosinus acidiphilus SJ4, complete genome.